UGAAGUCUGGAUCACCCUCACUGUGACAGUAUCGUCUCUGUUGCUGGUUCUGCUGGUCGUGUCUCUCGCCAUGCUGUCCCGCUGGAAACACCAACCCAAGAAACCAGCCGGUCCUGAUCAGGUGUGACUGAAGAUGAACAGCUGAGAUCUAGUUUGUCUCCACGGCAACACAACAAACAGCUGUUGGCCCGGAUCCAGAGAGGCAGACUG